CACAGUACCGUGAGGGAAGUUGGUUGGGUAAGUUGUUUUCUCCCCCCCCCUGGCGUGGGGAAAGCAUGAUAUUGUUUAUAUACUCAAUUGUUUCAUUUCCAGAUUUGGAACGGCAAUUGUUUUGCGGCUUUAUUUUGUUGCAUUUGCAUGUGUUGUGCGUAGAGACAUUUGGUCAGGUAUUAUGAUUUCAAUUUUGAGGCCAGCUUGCUGGUACCCAAAUUGGAGGAUUACUAUUCUUCGGCCAAAUGUUUGCGCGUAUGGUUUUCGGACUCGAUUGGACACCGAGCUGGAGGUCAGUGGCGGUCGCAUGCGACGCGCGCUGUGCAAUCAGUUCGGUUCUAGUCGAGUUCUCAUGCGUGUUCUCUGCGUAAAAGCUGGUCAUCUAUCCGACCCGUCUUGAAACACGGACCAAGGAGUUUAUCGUGUGCGCGAGCCAUUGGGCAUUCAAAACCCAGAGGCGCAAUGAAAGUGAAAUGAUCUCGCAAGAGACUGAUGUGCGACUCCUCACGCUUUGGCGCGAGGAUGCAGCAUGGCCCCAUCCCGACUGCUUGCAGUGGGGUGGCGGAAGAGCGUAUGCGGUGAGACCCGAAAGAUGGUGAACUAUUCCUGAGCAGGAUGAAGCCAGAGGAAACUCUGGUGGAAGUCCGAAGCGGUUCUGACGUGCAAAUCGAUCGUCUGACUUGGGUAUAGGGGCGAAAGACUAAUCGAACCAUCUAGUAGCUGGUUC
rnacentral:rRNA from 1 species